UAGGGAAUCUUCGGCAAUGGACGAAAGUCUGACCGAGCAACGCCGCGUGAGUGAAGAAGGUUUUCGGAUCGUAAAACUCUGUUGUUAGAGAAGAACGUUGCAUAGAGUGGAAAAUUAUGCAAGUGACGGUAUCUAACCAGAAAGGGACGGCUAACUACGUGCCAGCAGCCGCGGUAAUACGUAGGUCCCGAGCGUUGUCCGGAUUUAUUGGGCGUAAAGCGAGCGCAGGUGGUUUAAUAAGUCUGAUGUAAAAAGGCAGUGGCUCAACCAUUGUGUGCAUUGGAAACUGUUAGACUUGAGUGCAGUAGAGGAGAGUGGAAUUCCAUGUGUAGCGGUGAAAUGCGUAGAUAUAUGGAGGAACACCGGUGGCGAAAGCGGCUCUCUGGACUGUCACUGACACUGAGGCUCGAAAGCGUGGGUAGCAAACAGGAUUAGAUACCCUGGUAGUCCACGCCGUAAACGAUGAGUGCUAGUUG
rnacentral:rRNA from 1 species